CUGACAGCCUUGGAGAUAGUUUACAUUUAUUCACAGAACAGGAGCAACAUAGGUAGUGUCAGCACAUGCUGCUUCAACACUAUUUCAGCGUGAUUCAGCCCUGCUCUGGAGGGACAAGCAGGUAGUUCAGUCUCCAUGCCCUACUCAUUCUUUGGCCCUU
rnacentral:sRNA from 1 species